GUGCGGCGUCUUUCUGAACUCUCCCGACCGUCCGAGCUUCCAUAAUACCAUCCGAACUUCUCCAACAAUAAACUCCUCCAUUCAUCUACCGGGCUGCUCCAAACGCUUUCUGAGCUUCACUAUCAAUCGAUUUUCUACAGUGAUCGACUAUUCUCCGAAUCUCUUCCAGAUUUUUUCCAACCACGGUCGACUCUACUCCGAACUUCUACAAUAAGCGGACUUCAUCCGAGCUCCUACAAGAAUC
rnacentral:lncRNA from 1 species